ensembl:lincRNA
UUGUUUAUUAUAAGGCAACUUCCUCAUAUGCUCUGUGACUUGUUUUUUUUCUUCAGUCGGUUUGGACAUAGCAAUAAUUUUAUCAGCACCAUAUCCCAUGAAACAGAUGUCAUAAUUCAUCUUGUGUUUAUGUUUAAAGAACACCUUCCAGGCCAAGGUCAGCCCCCGUGGAAGACUCCCCAACAGUCGUGGAUGGGCUGGAGGAGAGAAGUCACAACAUGUUUCCUGUUAAAAGAAACUUUAAACCGUAAAUCACUUUCUCACAAGGAAUUUGUUCAUGUUUAUUUCUUAAGAGGAUAUUGAGCAAUGUUGCCCCUUGAGCCUGGUAAAUAUGUUGAUUUAAGAUGUAUAUCUAAUAGUUCCACGAUGCAUUUGACCACAAUGGUUACCUAAAGGGUGUAAUGAGGUAGCUAUCUCCAAGGGAGGG